UACACACCGCCCCGUCGCUACGACCGAUUGAAUGGCUGAGGGAGGCCUUCGGACUGGCCCAGGGAGGUCGGCAACGACCACCCAGGGCCGGAAAGUUGGUCAAACUCCGUCAUUUAGAGGAAGUAAAAGUCGUAACAAGGUUUCCGUAGGUGAACCUGCGGAAGGAUCAUUAAAGAGUAAGGGUGCUCAGCGCCCGACCUCCAACCCUUUGUUGUUAAAACUACCUUGUUGCUUUGGCGGGACCGCUCGGUCUCGAGCCGCUGGGGAUUCGUCCCAGGCGAGCGCCCGCCAGAGUUAAACCAAACUCUUGUUAUUAAACCGGUCGUCUGAGUUAAAAUUUUGAAUAAAUCAAAACUUUCAACAACGGAUCUCUUGGUUCUCGCAUCGAUGAAGAACGCAGCGAAAUGCGAUAAGUAAUGUGAAUUGCAGAAUUCAGUGAAUCAUCGAAUCUUUGAACGCACAUUGCGCCCCUUGGUAUUCCGAGGGGCAUGCCUGUUCGAGCGUCAUUACACCACUCAAGCUAUGCUUGGUAUUGGGUGCCGUCCUUAGUUGGGCGCGCCUUAAAGACCUCGGCGAGGCCACUCCGGCUUUAGGCGUAGUAGAAUUUAUUCGAACGUCUGUCAAAGGAGAGGAACUCUGCCGAUUGAAACCUUUAUUUUUCUAGGUUGACCUCGGAUCAGGUAGGGAUACCCGCUGAACUUAAGCAUAUCAAUAAGCGGAGGA
rnacentral:rRNA from 1 species